rnacentral:lncRNA from 1 species
AACAAGCAAAUCAGUUUGGUGAGGAAAUGGAAUGCGCGUUUUCUGAUAGAAUGUUGGAAGCAUCGCUCCAGUUUGAAAGAAUUCAGAAGAUGGGGACUGCUCUAUUCCAUGACCAGUGUCCCGACUUGCCUCUUCCAUGGGAAGCUUCUCUGUCUUCUACAAACUCAGAAAGCAUUGCAAACAUAAGUUAUAGUAACAGUUACUAUGGCAUUGAGUCUAUUAUGGAAGACAGUCCGAUGCCAGGUAAAAUUUAUUUACAUAUCAAAGAUCGGAUCUAAAACGUACCUGGUGAAGAGAGUCUCAUUUCAAAUAUUUCUUCGAUAGUGCGAAGACUUUAUACGUAUCCACACCGAGACCGAUCCUUACUAUCAACCCUUUGAUCAAUGAAAUCCGUGAACAACAACAACAACAACAACAACAACAACCCAGUAUAAUCCCAUUAGUGGGGUCUGGGGAGGGUAGUGUGUACGCAGACCUUACCCUACCAUGAAGUAUAGAGGUUGUUUCCAAUAGACCCUCGGCAUCCUCCCCUCCAAGAACUACUCACUUUGCUCUUGGGGUGACUCGAACUCACAACCUUUUGGUUGAAAGUGGAGGUUGCUUAUCAUCAUAGCAACCCCUCUUGUCUAGCAACCCAUCCGUGAACAAAUUGAAUAAAAUUAUGUCCUAAAUUUUUUCUAAAAGCUUUCAGCCAAGAAGAAAAACUAUUUUCUUUGUCAAGAUACUCUCUUGGAUUUGUGCGUCUCACAGAUGC